rnacentral:misc_RNA from 1 species
UUAUGCCAUGCAGAAAAAUGGAAAAACAGACCGUGCAUGGCAUAAAGACUGAUUUUUAUGCGUUAUCUACUUGCAAUUAGCGUAAGUUUUUGGUAAUAUCGUAUAUCAUGAUGCACGGACAGCGAAGGCGCAGAGCGCGAAGCAGUCCGUAGGGCGUCA